GCAGUGAAAAAAUAUCCUCAGGUGAGGAUAAAAAAUUAAAACAUAGGAUACAUCCUAAUGUGGCACAUGUAGUGAGACCCUACCAAUAAAAUAUUGGAAACAUUGCUCUUACAGUAAAAAUCAAGUCAGAGAUGUCUGUUAUUUGCUAGUGAAAUAGACAGCAGUGAGAAAAAGAAAUAAUUAUCACUGUCAGCAUGUGAGAUUGUUGUAUACUUAGACAAUCAAAGUGCGUGUGCUGAACUGUUAAAACUAAGAAUAGCUACAAUGAAAGAUACUGAUAAUACCAAGUGUCGAUGAGGAUGUGGAACAACUAGAGUGGCCACGCUUUGCUGGUGGGAAACACAGAAUGGCACUGCCCCUUUGGAAAACAGAUUGGCGUUUUCUUCAGAAGUUAACAUGCACUGACCAUACAGCCCAUCAGUUCCACUCUUUGGUGUCUGUCUGUGAGAAGUGAAUCACAUAUGUCUACACAAAGACGUCUACAUCCAUGUUCAUGGAGGCAUUAUUCAUGAGUCAAAAGGCAGAAACAAAUAUCCAUCAAUGUCGUUUAGUGAAUAGAUAAAUGACAUUUCCCCCAUCUAUACAAUGUAAUACUGUUUAGCAGUAAGGAUCUACUGAUGCUUACACGGUUGAAUCUCAAAAACAUGCUAAGUGAGAGAAGUGAGGAGCAAAAGACUGAAUACUAUAUGAUUUGUUAUAUUAAAUUCUCAAAAAGGCAAAAUUAUAGAGACAAAGUAUUAGGGAUAGGAACUGACUACAGAUACAAUAGGGAAUUUUUCAGAAUGAUGGAGGGUUCUAAAAUGUGAUUAUACUCAUAAUUGGAUGACUGUGUAUAUUUGCAAAGCUUAAUGAACUGCAUACUUAAAAUGGGAAGGUUUUAUUGUGUGCCAUUUAUACUUCAUCAGAGCUGUGAAACAGACAUGCAGUUGGCAAGCAAGCCUCAGACAUUUCAAGUGAAAUUCCACAUAUGCCUUCCUUUUUCUUUUUAACCUGAUAGAACUAAUAUAUUUUUCUUACUUUAUUUCAAGCAUCUUUUCCCUGAGACCCCAACACAUUUAUAGUAGGUCUGUUGUUGACUUAACAUGAAAGACUUACAUGCUUGUUCCCAAUUUACGUAGAACUUUUUGCCUUGUGGUUAUGUACAAAAAUGAUUAUCUUUUGCUCUACAUACUGAACUGUUUGUAGGUGAAAUGUGAAGUCUAGAAUGUUCUUUAAAAUACUCCAAGAAUGGAAAAAAAUAGAUGUCUAGAUAAAACAAGAUUGAUUGGCAAAUGUUGAUAAUUUUUGAGGCUGGAUGAUGUGCACCUGAGGAUUCAUUAUGCUAUCCUGUGUAAUUAUGUUUACGAUUAUAGUUUUUCAUAAUAAAAAGAAAACACUGAGAACUUACUACAAUGAUAAGGUAAAAUACAAACAUACAAAAUUCAGUAGUUUUCUCAUAUACUAGUAAACGUACACUCCUGUAUCCUCUGACCCCAGAUCCGGGGGUGGAUUUCUUCACAACAGCCUGUGCCCCAACUCUCCAACACAAACAGAAUGUUCCACAGUCAAAUUGUGGUACUAACUGCCUGGAGUGAGCACAGACCUCGCAGGUCGGUCCUCAGCCCCACAGACUGCCCCCAACUGCAGGUCCCAGUUACAAGUCCCAGGUUGUCAUUGUACUUCUGACCAGAUGGCUAUAAAAAAGGGAUUCCCACAGCCCCUUCUUCAGUUCAGUAAUUUGCUGUAAUGGCUCACACACUCAAGGAAACACAUUUAUUGCUUUUUUUCCCAUGAUAUAAUAAAGGAUACAGACGAACAACUAGAUGAAGAAGGACAUAGGGCAAGGUCCGGAAGGGUACCGAGUGCAGGAACUUAGGUCCCCAUGGAGUUGGGGUGUGCCACCCUUUUGGCACAUGGACAUAGAUUUCUGUUCACCAACCUGGAAGGUCUCUGAACCCGUAGUUGAGGAAUUUUUAUGGAGGUUUUGUCACAUGCACAUGAUCCACUAUUAACUCAAUCUGCAGACCCUCUCCCCUCCCCAGAGGAUUGGGGGUGAGGCCCAGAGAUCCAAGCUUCUUUCCAAUGAUGGCUUGGUGUUUCUGGUGCUUAGCCCCCAGUCCGAAGGUGUUCAGCAGCCCACCGAGAGUGGCCUCAUUAGAACAAAGGAGUCUUGCUCCUAUUACCCAGGAAAUUUCAAGGGAUUUAGGAGCUCUGUGUCCGAGUCGGGGGCCGAAAAACAAGUAUAGGAACAAAAGAUGCUCCCAGCACCCCCGCCACUCAGGAAAUUAUAAGAAUUUUAGGAACUUGGGUCAGGAACCAGGGGCAGAAACCAAAUAUAUAUUUCUUACUAUGUCACAACUGGCAAUAACAUGUCAGUAUAAAUAAUGAAAUACAUAAAAUGCCUAGAAUUAAACCUAAAAGAAAUAUGAAAAUCAUAAGACUCUAUUGAGGUUAUGAAAUAUAAAAUAGAGAUAUAAAUGGGAAGUCUUAAUACAUUCGUGCAUGAGAAAACUUAGUGUUUUUAAAUAAUAAUUUCCCCCAAAUUAAUGUACAAACUGAGUUCCAAUGAACAUUUAAAAGGAAUUGUUUUAUUAUUUGAAAAGUUGUUUUCAAGGAUCAUGUGGAAGAGUAAUGGUAAUUAAUAGAAAAGGCUUUCCCUGCAAGAUACCAAAAUGUACUAUAAAAUUUACAACAAUUACUCCAACAAAGAGCCAAACAAAAAUACAACAAAUUUACAACAAAGAGCUCCAACAAAGUGGAGCUCUUUAUCAGCUAACCGCUCAAGGAAAUAAAAAUAGACUCCAUAAAGGAGUGUUGGGGCAAUUUGAUUACUAUGUGGGAAAAGUAAUAUUACUUCACAUCAUACACAAAAAGAAAUCAUAAUAGGGUAUGUAAACGGGAAAAAACAGCAAAGUUCUAAAAGAAAUAUAUGUGACACUAAAGUAAGCAGCAGAUGGAUGACACAGCUACCACUUGAAUAUGAGAAGACCUUGUGCAAUACAGACACAAAGGGCAGCAAUGUACAGAUGGCAGGAGCACAGCACUGAGUGUGGGAAAUGUUCAAGCACCAAUCAGUGAUGAGCAGUUCCCCCAUUAUGAAGCGUAUAUUUCACCUUUAAUUACCAGAAUGAGGCAGAGAUCAUUUGGUAUUUUUAUUUUUACCUGUUCCUCUCUAUUUUUCUUUCCUUUCUGUUGUAUAAGUUUCUUGAUUAUCAAAAGGCUUGUUUUUUGGCAUCCUCACAACUAUGAGAGGUGAUGAAUUUUUGGGAAUUCAUCACCUCCCAUAGAAUUUUUGAAAACAGCCUAAGGCUUAUGUGAGUGUUAGUUAAGUGUUGUUGAACUUAAUAUGGUGGUGUUGCCACAAGACUUAGUAAUCCAAAGGUUUUCUCAAA